rnacentral:rRNA from 1 species
GAAGAGAGAGUUCAAGAGUACGUGAAACUGCUCAGAGGCAAACGGGUGGGCCCUCGAAAUCCCGCCGCGGAGGGAUUCAGUCCCGACGCCGUCGGUUCCUCCCCGGCUAACAACGGACCCGUAGCGAGGCCGGUCGGUGGAGGAGGGCCGCGGCGGCGACCGACGCACUUCCCUCCGCGCAGAGGACGCCGCAACCGGUCGGGUAGCAGCGAGAGUCGGCCAUGAGGGUCCGCGCCGGCAGGUGGCCGGGGAGUCUGCUACGGCAGCGUCCUCCCCGGUCGUUAGCCAGCGGACGCCGCGGCGCGACACCCGACCGAGGCCAAAGUUCCCUCGUCUCUGGGAACCCGCCGCACCCUGCCCUUUUCCGGGCAGCGGGGCCCACGGCACGCGCGUCGCCGCACCGCCGCGUCACUCCGAGAGUGGUCCGCGUGCGGCGGACGCGGCUGGCCGCGGAGCGCCCGCGAGGGGUCGCAGACGGUUGGCGGCGAGCAGGUCGGUCACCCACCCGACCCGUCUUGAAACACGGACCAAGGAGUCUAACAUGUGCGCGAGUCGCCGGGUCUUGUCCAGGCCCGCGGGCGCAAUGAAAGUGACAGUCGAGACUCCGACCCAGAGAGUCGGAAGCACCGACGGCCCGUCCGAUCCGCCACGCGUGGACGGGCGGAGUCGGAGCGCACACGUUGGGACCCGAAAGAUGGUGAACUAUGCCCGGGCAGAACGAAGCCAGAGGAAACUCUGGUGGAGGUUCGCAGCGGUUCUGACGUGCAAAUCGAUCGUCAGACCCGGGUAUA